ACGGCCUUUGGGGUGAGGUAGUAGGUUGUAUGGUUUUGGGCUCUGCCCCGCUCUGCGGUAACUAUACAAUCUACUGUCUUUCCUGAAGUGGCCGC
ensembl:miRNA Mirlet7c-2 microRNA let7c-2